AUGGCGCUGCAAAACAUUGGUGCUUCAAACAAGGAUGAUGCCUUCUACAGGUACAAGAUGCCCAGAAUGCUGACCAAAAUUGAAGGCCGUGGUAAUGGCAUCAAGACCAAUAUUGUGAACAUGGUUGAUAUAGCAAAAGCACUUGCAAGGCCUGCUUCCUACACAACCAAGUACUUUGGUUGUGAGCUUGGGGCACAAUCAAAGUUUGAUGAGAAGACAGGAAUCUCCUUGGUUAAUGGUGCCCAUGACACUUCAAAGCUAGCUGGUCUGCUCGAGAACUUCAUCAAGAAGUAUGUCCAGUGUUAUGGCUGUGGCAACCCUGAGACAGAGGUCCUCAUCUCCAAGAAAGAGAUGAUAACUCUGAAAUGUGCCGCCUGUGGCUUCCUCUCGGAUGUUGACAUGAGGGACAAGCUCACUACAUUCAUCCUGAAGAACCCACCAGAGGCGAAGAAAGGAGGCAAGGACAAGAAAGCUAUGAGGAGGGCUGAGAAGGAGCGUCUGAAAGAAGGUGAAGCAGCUGAUGAGGAGAUGAAGAAACUCAAGAAGGAUGGGAAGAAGAAAGGUGCUUCGUCCAAGGAGAGUACUGCAAAAGGUGUUGCCACAAAGAAGAAGGGUGCUGGGGGCUCUGAUGAAGAACAUAUCUCAUCACCAAGAGAUGCUGACUUUGCAGCUGCUGCAGAUGAUGAUGAUGAUGACGAUGAUGAUGUACAGUGGGCGACUGACACGUCAGCAGAGGCUGCAAGAAAGCGUAUGGAGGAACAGCUGAGUGCAGCAACUGCUGAAAUGGUUAUGCUUGCCACUGAAGAGACUGAGAAGAAGAAGAAACAGGCCCAGCACAAGGAUGAUGGCUGUGCCAAUGGCACAUCAAAGGCUGAAGAGACCUCCAACGGUAAGCAGAAUGGAGCCAAAGCCACUCCCUAUGAUGAACUGGUUGAAGAGAUCAAGGCGAGCCUUGCCAAUGCUGCCACCGCAGCUCAGCUCAAGGGGGUGCUGUCCUCCUCAACCCUGCCCCUGAAGGACGUGAUGGAUGCCCUCUUUGAGGCGCUCUUCCAUGGUGCCGGCAAGGGGUUCGCCAAGGAUGUGGUUAAGAACAAGAAGUACCUUGCUGCUGCUGUGCCUGAUGAAGCCGCCCAGAUGCUCCUGCUCCAGUCCAUCGAGGCGUUCUGCAGCAAGUGCAGCGCCGAGGCCUUGAAGGAGCUGCCUGUCGUUCUGAAGGCCCUCUACGACGGAGACCUCCUUGAGGAGGAAACCAUUGUGCAGUGGUACAAUGAAGCUGUUGCUGCCGGCAAGGACUCUCAGGUCGUGAAGAAUGCCAAGCCCGUCGUGGAGUGGCUCGAGAGCGCCGAGUCCGACGAGGAGUGA
rnacentral:rRNA from 1 species